rnacentral:rRNA from 1 species
UACGAGGGGGGCGAGCGUUGUUCGGAAUUAUUGGGCGUAAAGGGUGCGUAGGCGGUUCCGCAAGUCCUGUGUGAAAUCUUCGGGCUCAACUCGAAGUCUGCACGGGAAACUGCGGGGCUUGAGUGUGGGAGAGGUGAGUGGAAUUCCCGGUGUAGAGGUGAAAUUCGUAGAUAUUCGGAGGAACACCAGUGGCGAAGGCGGCUCACUGGCUCAUUACUGACGCUCAGGCGCGAUAGCGUGGGGAUCAAACAGG